rnacentral:lncRNA from 1 species
AGAGCUGAUGGUCCUACAGCAGUACUGCUCUUGUACCACCAUCCAAGCAUAGGGAUAGGAUCUGCUCAUUACCAUGACUGGCUAGGAAUGCCUAGGAGGGCAAGCUAGCGGGUGCCUUAAUUAAGGGAAAAAGUUAACUAGAGGAGACCAAACACACCUGUGGAGGUGGACCAACGGAGAUGGGAGGAUUGUGUUGUGGCUGUGAUGUGUAUGAGGCAAUGAAGGUCACCUGCAAACCAACCAUCACCGAACUUUUGUGUGGGCUUCAAUAUGCUGCUGUUGUCACUCUGGAAUUGCUGGAUCAGCCUGAGAAAAUGAAGAGUGUAGAGGGAAGAGAUUCCUUGGGAACAUCUCCUGGCGAACAGCAGUGAGCUUUUGACCGUCACCCUCUAAGCGAAGACAAGCAAGAGCAUAUUUAAAUCUGUAGGAUUAAAAAUAUCCGCGCUGGGAAAAAAAAGACAUUCUCAGCACUGAGAUAUUCUCUGCACUGUGAAUGCAUUGAGCUCAAAACUCUAUCUUUCUCUUUUUUAUUAAAUCCAAUUUAUUUUGCAAAAGGGGGGGGGGUAAGAGGUGGGAGGGGGGCUUUGAUUUUGGGGGAUGCUCAUUCCCCGCUUUGCAGAAAUGACUGUCAGUUUUAAAAAGCUAUUCACAUUAUCUCUCUCUAUUCUUCCAGUGAAACUGUAAAGAAAUCUAAUUUCAGCCGUAAUAAAGCACCUGAUGGGCAGUGAUCCCUAGCA